UACGUAGGGUGCGAGCGUUGUCCGGAAUUAUUGGGCGUAAAGAGCUCGUAGGCGGUUUGUUGCGUCGGCCGUGAAAACUUGGGGCUUAACCCCAAGUUUGCGGUCGAUACGGGCAGACUUGAGUUCGGCAGGGGAGACUGGAAUUCCUGGUGUAGCGGUGAAAUGCGCAGAUAUCAGGAGGAACACCGGUGGCGAAGGCGGGUCUCUGGGCCGAUACUGACGCUGAGGCACGAAAGCGUGGGGAGCAAACAGG
rnacentral:rRNA from 1 species